ensembl:snRNA U6 U6 spliceosomal RNA
GUUCUCACUUCAACAGCACAUAUACAAAAUUUGGAAUGAUACAGAUAAGAUUAGCAUGGCCCCUGAGCAAGAAUGACACUCAAAUUCACGUAGAAUUCCAUAUUUUU